UCGCCUGUUUAUCAAAAACAUAACUAUAUGUGCUUAUAUAUAGCAAUUUCUGCUCAAUGAGUGUUUAAAUAGCCGCAGUACUUUGACUGUGCAAAGGUAGCAUAAUCAAUUGGCUUAUAAUUAAAGUCUGGCAUGAAUGAAUAUAUGGGGGAAAACUGUUUCCUAGGGAUAUAGUAGAAUUUAUUUAAAAAGUGCAAAUACUUUUAUAUAUACAUUAGACGAGAAGACCCUAGAAAUUUUUGUAAAAGUAAAUUUUCUUAUGUAUAUUUUGUUGGGGCGACAAAGUAACAUGUAACUUACUGUUAUUUUACUUGUAUAUGGUUUUAAGGAAGAUUAAAUUACUCUAGGGAUAACAGCAUAAUAUUUUAAAGUUUGUGACCUCGAUGUUGGAUUAGGAAAGAUAAGUGUUUAGAAGAAUUUUAUCUUUGCUCUGUUCGAGCAAUUUUCCCUACGCGA
rnacentral:rRNA from 1 species